rnacentral:rRNA from 1 species
GGAUAGCCACUGGAAAUGGUGGGUAAUACCGUAUAAUCCCCGCGGGGGAUAGAUUUAUCGCUAUUAGAUGAGCCUAUGUCGGAUUAGCUAGUUGGUGGGGUAAUGGCCUACCAGGGCAGUGAUCUGUAGCUGGUCUGAGAGGAUGAUCAGCCACACUGGAACUGAGACACGGUCCAGACUCCUACGGGAGGCAGCAGUGGGGAAUAUUGGACAAUGGGCGCAAGCCUGAUCCAGCUAUGCCGCGUGAGUGAGGAAGGCCUUAGGGUUGUAAAACUCUUUCAGUAGGGAAGAUAAUG